GUGCCAGCCGCCGCGGUAAUACGGAGGGUGCAAGCGUUACUCGGAAUUACUGGGCGUAAAGGGAGCGCAGGCGGUCUAUUAAGUCAGGUGUGAAAGCCCGGGGCUCAACCCCGGAACUGCACCUGAAACUGGUAGACUUGAGGAUGAGAGAGGAAAGUAGAAUUUCUGGUGUAGAGGUGAAAUUCGUUGAUAUCAGAAGGAAUACCCGUGGCGAAGGCGGCUUUCUGGCUCAUUUCUGACGCUGAGGCUCGAAAGUGUGGGUAGCAAACAGGAUUAGAUACCCUGGUAGUCCACACCGUAAACGAUGAAUGCUAGGCGACCGGUUCGUUUAUCGACUGGGUGCCGCAGUUAACGCAUUAAGCAUUCCGCCUGGGGAGUACGGUCGCAAGAUUAAAACUCAAAUGAAUUGGCGG
rnacentral:rRNA from 1 species